rnacentral:rRNA from 1 species
UACGUAGGCAGCGAGCGUUGUUCGGAAUUACUGGGCGUAAAGAGUGUGUAGGCGGUGUUCCCAGUCUGUUGUGAAAUCUCCCGGCUUAACUGGGAGGGUGCAGCGGAAACUAGAAUGCUAGAGGGUGGGAGAGGUAAGCGGAAUUCCUGGUGUAGCGGUGAAAUGCGCAGAUAUCGGGAAGAACACCCGUGGCGAAGGCGGCACUCUGGGACGGUACUGACGCUGAGACGCGAAAGCGUGGGGAGCGAACAGG